GACUUUUCGAAUCCGUGUAGGAAUUUCGUCAGACACCAACCCAUUUGGGCUGAUCAGACUUCCAAGAUAAGUGAAGUU
rnacentral:pre_miRNA from 1 species